rnacentral:lncRNA from 1 species
GAGAUCAUUGAUUUAGGAAGUCUUGUGUCCUGAGACCUUUAGUGCGGAAAAAACAGCAAUAUAUGUCUGUAACAAAGUAAGGGCGAGGGCGAAAAUUGCACCUAGAAAAGCCAAGAGAGCCCAAGGACUGCUAAAAUGGUCGUGUAUCCAUUCAGCCAUCCAGACUUGUGCUUUACUCUUGCAAUGAUUUUCAAUCUGCAACUUAACAUCUGAAUAUGCACGGGGAUCAGGUACCAAAUUCUUAGAUAUAUCGUUAAAGAGUUGCGCCAAUUCUUUGUCACUGCCUAAAUUGUUGACAAGAAUUCUUCUUUUCCGGAGCUCUUUAACAUCAUCAGCAUGAUCAAUGAGUGAAUCCAUUAAGCUAACGUAUGAUGUAAUGUGAUAAUCAGAAGGUCCAUGGGGACACAUUUCAUAAGCCACCAAAUUUAAUAGGAAAUCAUUUGUUGAAUCAUCAACCAUUAUUGGAGGAAGUGUAAGAGUACCAGAAGUAAGGUGAGAUUUGAAUUUUACGUCGGUAACGUGGUUAGUUUGACUUAAUCUGAAAUGAAUUCCUGCUGAUACGAGCUCAGUUACUGAACGAUACGAAUGCCAUUAAACAAAUUGCUUCUCGUUUUCGUCUUUGGGAGAUGGCCCGAUGAGCUAUUCCCGAACUAGAUGUAGAAGGUGAGUAGGGGGUGCAUCCAUAUCUAAUUUCGAUUUCUCUUUUUUCUGAACACUGCAUCCCAUCUUUUGUGCAAGAUAUUUCUUGACAGCAUCAGUGAUGAAUUUUUUUCAGGUGGCAUUAUGGUGACCUUCUGAUCAAGGAAAUUCUGAAUCAACUUUGUCUUCUCGCCUUCAUUUUCGCACCUGAAUUUGAUCAAAACUUUU